rnacentral:rRNA from 1 species
AACGAACGCUGGCGGCAGGCUUAACACAUGCAAGUCGAACGGGCGUAGCAAUACGUCAGUGGCAGACGGGUGAGUAACACGUGGGAACCUUCCUAGGGGGUACGGAACAACUCAGGGAAACUUGAGCUAAUACCGUAUACGUCCGUGAGGAGAAAGAUUUAUCGCCCUUAGACGGGCCCGCGUCGGAUUAGCUAGUUGGUGGGGUAACGGCCUACCAAGGCGACGAUCCGUAGCUGAUCUGAGAGGAUGAUCAGCCACACUGGGACUGAGACACGGCCCAGACUCCUACGGGAGGCAGCAGUGGGGAAUCUUGGACAAUGGGCGCAAGCCUGAUCCAGCCAUGCCGCGUGAGUGAAG